rnacentral:rRNA from 1 species
UAGGGAAUCUUCCACAAUGGGCGCAAGCCUGAUGGAGCAACACCGCGUGAGUGAAGAAGGGUUUCGGCUCGUAAAGCUCUGUUGUUAAAGAAGAACACGUAUGAGAGUAACUGUUCAUACGUUGACGGUAUUUAACCAGAAAGUCACGGCUAACUACGUGCCAGCAGCCGCGGUAAUACGUAGGUGGCAAGCGUUAUCCGGAUUUAUUGGGCGUAAAGAGAGUGCAGGCGGUUUUCUAAGUCUGAUGUGAAAGCCUUCGGCUUAACCGGAGAAGUGCAUCGGAAACUGGAUAACUUGAGUGCAGAAGAGGGUAGUGGAACUCCACGUGUAGCGGUGGAAUGCGUAGAUAUAUGGAAGAACACCAGUGGCGAAGGCGGCUACCUGGUCUGCAACUGACGCUGAGACUCGAAAGCAUGGGUAGCGAACAGGAUUAGAUACCCUGGUAGUCCAUGCCGUAAACGAUGAGUGCUAGGUGUUGGAGGGUUUCCGCCCUUCAGUGCCGGAGCUAACGCAUUAAGCACUCCGCCUGGGGAGUACGACCGCAAGGUU